rnacentral:misc_RNA from 1 species
UUAACUAUUAUAUAGUACUCAGACGACAUGUAUAAACAGAGUUUGGAGUCCUCUGGCGAGCACUCACCAGCGUGAGCCGGUGGCCGAGGCGGCUCGCCAAAGCAACAAAGGUAUAAUUUAACAUAGGGUUGGAGAGUCACCCUCGCGGGCGAGUUUCUCUGUAAUGAUCCCUCCGCAGGUUCACCUACGGAGA